rnacentral:rRNA from 1 species
GCNGGACCNGACUGCUUUCCNGGGUGGGACUAAGCCAUGCAAGUNGAAUGGGANNNNUAAUUUUCCCAUGGCGAACUGCUCAGUAACACGUGAUCAACUUACCCUAAAGUGGAAAAUAACCUCGGGAAACUGAGGAUAAUAAUCCAUAAUUGAGGAUGCCUGGAAGGGUUUCUCAAUAAAAGCGCAAUUUAAAUGGUAAUUGCAGCGCUUUAGGAUAGGAUCGCGCCCGAUUAUGGCUGUUGGUGAGGUAAUGGCUCACCAAACCUAUUAUCGGUAAGGGCCGUGAGAGCGGGAGCCCUGAGAUGGGUACUGAGACAAGGACCCAGGUCUUACGAGACGCAGCAGGCACGAAAUCUUCACAAUGCACGAAAGUGUGAUGAGGUUACCCGGAGUGCUACAAUGUAGCUGUGGUAGGUGAGUAAGAUUCCCUACUAGGAAGGAGAGGGCAAGGCUGGUGCCAGCCGCCGCGGUAAAACCAGCUCUUCAAGUGGUCGGGAUUUUUAUUGGGCUUAAAGUGUCCGUAGCCGGUAUAUUAAGUUCUUGGUUAAAUCUGAUAGCCUAACUAUCUGUUGGCUAAGAAUACUACUAUACUAGGGGGCGGGAGAGGUUUGAGGUACUCCAGGGGUAGCGGUGAAAUGCGAUAAUCCUUGGGGGACCACCAGUGGCGAAGGCGUCAGACUGGAACGCGCCCGACGGUGAGGGACGAAAGCCAGGGGAGCGAACCGGAUUAGAUACCCGGGUAGUCCUGGCCGUAAACGAUGCGUGCUAGGUGUUGGUAUGGCUAUGAGCCGUAUCAGUGCCGUAGGGAAACCGAUAAGCGCGCCGCCUGGGGAGUACGGUCGCAAGACUGAAACUUAAAGGAAUUGGCGGG